rnacentral:tRNA from 1 species
CAAAUUAUAGCAUAUAUAAUGCCUUUUAUUUACACUAAAAAGAAAAUAACUAUAUUUAAUUUGA